CGUAUUUACUUCGACUUUGGAUUCGUAACUAUGAGAAGCACGGCUAUGGCUCUGACGGCACCUUGCUAUCUACGGCGGUGAACGAGUAUCUAAACGCGAGUGGCAUUCCUCUCUUGCUUGGGUUGUGCCUGUGAAAUCUGACAGCGGUGGCAGCAUGUCGUCCGAUCCGCCUUCAACUGAACGCUCGCCGACUGAUGCGGAUGGAGCGGUUUGCCUCUUGUUUGCGUUGCGCCUGUGAAAUCCGGCAGCGGUGGCAGUAUGGCGUCCGAUCCGCCUUCAACUGAACGCUCGCCAACUGGUGCGGAAGAAGCGGUUUGCCUCUUGCUUGCGUUGUGCCUGUGAAAUCUGACAAUGGUGGCAGCAUAUCGUCCGAUCCGCCUUCAACUGAACGCUCGCCGACUGAUGCGGAAGGAGCAGUUAGCCUCUUGUUUGCGUUGCGCCUGUGAAAUCCGACAGCGGUAGCAGUAUGGCGCCCGAUCCGCCUUCAACUGAACGCUCGCCAACUGUUGCGGAAGAAGCGGUUUGCCUCUUGCUUGCGUUGCGCCUGUGAAAUAUGACAACGGUGGCAGUAUGUCGUCCGAUCCGGCUUCAACUGAACGCUCGCCGACUGGUGCGGAAGAAGCGGCUUGCCUCGUUUCGCAGGGGCCAUCAAAAAAAAUCGUGAAGCUCACAGGCGCCCGGAAACUCGCCGACCUCCACGAAAGCCUGCGGACGGGAGGGUUCGUGUACCUGAUGACAGGCAACGAUCUUCUAAUACAGAUCUUCCAACGACCGGUUCCAGUGCUACGUCGACAUGGGUGAAAGCACGACGGUGUGUGAUGGAGCAUUGAUUAACUUGGUUGCCUCUCCAAGCCACGCCGAAGCAUCAGAGGCACCAAAAAAGCCGCUGUCUGGUAGUGCAGUUGAACAUGCGGAGAAUGCAGUCAAAGGACAGUACAAGGAAUUGUCAACGUACACACUGCCUCCGAUGCCCAUUGACGUUGCUGCACACCUCUGAAAUAUUACAGCAGGAGGCGUGCCUGACAAUCUUCAAAAGAAAAUUGAAUGGAUUGCCUACAAUUCGUCAUCUCAGGCAAUUUCUCAUGGUAUAUGUGCCCAAGAAACAAGUACAAAAACCUGCGAAAGUGAAUGCCACCAGGAUGCCCUGAAGUCGAUGCAUAAGUGAAAGCAAGAAAGGCAAGCGAAAUUGUGACACAUGCUCCAAAUCUGGAUUUUGAAGACGGGUGAUCAGCUGCAAGUUUGCAUGCAUAUUUCACUAGAUAAACUGGCUCUUCUUUCUUUGUUAUGUGGCUUAGUUGAAACAUUUAGUUGCUUCUCUUGAUGUACUUGUUCGUUUCAUUUACAUGUUUUCUUUAACAAAUGCAAACAUGCAAUCCAGCUAUAGCUACUAUAUCUGCAAUACUGUCAUCAGAGAUUUUGUAGGUGAUCAAAGAAGCAAAAUAUCAUAUCGCAUCGCCACCUUGAACCUAGAGUGAAACAUUAGUUCAAGAUGUAGUGGUAGAUGCAUUUAUAGACUAGUAAUACAGCAUUCGUACUGUAAUGUAUAUUGAUAUACAUACUAUGAUGUAGUGAAAAGUGUGUGGCUAUGCUGCUCUGACACUUCAGUUGUUUUAACCCUUCAUUGAUGAGUUUUGCAUACAGCAUACCAAAAAGUAUAAAUUUUUCUUGCUGAUCUUUGGCAUUGAGUAAGAAGUUUCUUGUUAAAUGUAUUGAGCCAACAUUGAAUGAUUGGCAGCAAGUGUCAUUUGUCGGUUUGUAGCAGGAACACAGGAUGGGAAAAAAAAGACAUGGGACUCGUUUUCUUUGGAAAGCACGGUCAGAGGAGACAGACCAGUGCAAGAUCUGCUGUAGUGACCUCAGACACACAAUGCAAAGAGCCCUCUGUACAGAUUCCAAACGCAGCCAUAUGUCGCUUGGGGAGAAGCCCAAUCCUUCCCUCAUACUACUAAAGGAGUUUCUACAAAAUAUCAUUUAUUUUCGUUAAUUAUGCUUAUUCUCAAUGUCUUUGCACAUUUAGAUAUAAAAUAAUUUUUGUAUUUAUAUGCGUGCUCAUUAAAGGGUUAAACAAAAUGGUUCCAAUGAAUGUAAAUGUAUAACUUUAGCGACUCUAGUCACAGUGUGUUGAUCAUUCCAUAAUCUUUGUGAGACCACGAAACAGGAACUAGGCAGCAUGAAAAUCACUCAGCAGUACCAAGAAGGAAGUUUCAGCACUUAUACAGUACUGCAGAAUACACUUCUAUGCUGUACCUGUGGUGUACUUUUUAUUAUGUGGUCUUGAUCCCACUAUGGGGAAAUAACUCUGCUUUGCAAGUGCAUUGCAGUACUUUAAUACUUUAACUGCUUGCUGCAAAAGGAAAGUGCCAUUAGAGUAUUACAUAAGGAUAAUGUGUUAUGAGGCAGUCGCUAGACGUGGUAUGUCACACCACUGAGUUGCCGGCGGCCAUUAUAAUUAGCUGUUUUCUGUGGCAUUGUUAACUUGAUAGAACAUAGUGAGCAUUAUUUGAUCAAUAAACAAUACUACAUAAUUCUGGCCCUUAUUUGGAACUUUGUCUCAUUUCCGUGAUGAGCGCAACCCGCUUUUGAUGUUACUGUGAUGGAGUGACUCCUUGCAAAGCAGCAGGGUAGUCUUGUUAAUGAUGCUGUCAUUCACACUUACGCAGAUUGUUUAGUAGGCAUUAGCUCAGUGCCAUUCCCCUAUAGAAUCACAGCUUGCAUUUCAUUCAUGUAUAAUAGAAACAUUCUGUAGAUUUCAUGUGAAAAUGUGACAGUGGAGGGCAUUAUGCUAUAAGUUCACAGCAGUGAGCCCCAUUAUUGGAAGACAGCUGUUGUCUCAAAUUACUUGCAGCAAAGUGAAGCCAUGUACAAUGUACAUGUGCAGUUUAGUAUGGGCCACAAUGACCAAAACAAACUUCAAUAAUGUUCUCGUAUUGCAAAAGAAAAUUGUUCGAAUAAUCGCUAAUGUUAACAAUACAACCACCUCCAAGUGUGCUUUUGAAGCACAUAACACUGUCCCCGUCAAUCACUUGUAUAACUUUAAGUUGUUACAAAAAAUUUAUUUCUCAAUGGCAUCCACUGCCAAUUUUUAUUCUACUCUGGCAUCUUUGGACAUGCGUCGUGCUAACAUACACAUACGACCUAUUAAUACAUGGAAUAUACCAUGUUUUCGCACUAAUUAUAAAUUUCUAAUGUUUUCUUACAACCUGCCCCAUGUUCUAAACACGUAUAAACAUACAAAAGGGUAUACCAAAGCUGAGCUGCGGAAAUAUUUUGUUGAAAUGUGAUUUUAUGUCUUUGCUAGUAGAUGCUGCAUGUUUGCUUGGUUAUUACUUUUAUUAUUUGUGAACAUAUGUGUGACCAUUUCAGCGUUUCGAUUUUACUGUUCAAAUUUUGUGCAAAGAUUAUUAGACUCUGUAUGCAUAAAUAGUGAAUGUUUCUCUUUAUUGAAUGUGACUAUUCUAUGUGUGUCUGUUGAAGAUUUCCUGCACCACUCAUAUGCUACUGCUUGUAGGGGUUUUCUGGACACAGUCAAGCUGUGCAGGCAGCUUCUUGCCAAAAACCUACCCUCCAGUUGAAUCUGGAAAAUGAACUUAUGCAUGUAUCCUUACACUUAUUUAAAUAUGUUCUGCCUAUUCUGUAUCCACGUGUGUGGGCUUGUGAUAUACCCUGAUGGCAAGGCCAUUUAUGGUUCGUUCAAAGAGAACAUCUACGGAUGCAUUAUAGCUAUUCUCAGGCUCCUCUCUUCCUGCUGUAAACUGUAUUCUCUGCUUAUAAGAAAUAAGUGUUCCUUGUGAUUACUAUAUGUGCUCUUGCUAAAGGUUACUGUGAUGUGUUCAUGUUCUUAUUGAAUAAAAUGUUUACAAAGUUUUAA